rnacentral:rRNA from 1 species
UACGUAGGGGGCGAGCGUUGUCCGGAUUUAUUGGGCGUAAAGAGCUCGUAGGCGGUUCGAUAAGUCGGACGUGAAAUCUCCACGCUCAACGUGGAGGGGCCGUUCGAUACUGUCGUGACUCGAGUCCGGUAGGGGAGUGUGGAAUUCCCGGUGUAGCGGUGAAAUGCGCAGAGAUCGGGAGGAACACCCGUAGCGAAGGCGGGUCUCUGGAACGCAACUGACGCUGAGACGCGAAAGCGUGGGGAGCAAACAGGG